rnacentral:lncRNA from 1 species
AUGUCAUCGGCGUGCCGGCCCCUCCGCGGCCACCCGGUGCAGGAGAAGGCUUCUCGGUCGUGGGGGGUCGAGGAGCUUUUGCUGAUGGGAGCACCUCUGCGGCUUCACUGCACCUGCUUUAGGCUCAGCACUGCACUGAUAGAACGUCCCCUGAUGUCCCAUUUGUCUCGUCGCCUUUAUAAACAAUGGCAUUUUUGUGAGUCUCCUCCAGUUGGCUUUUUAUGUCCUUGUGCGUCCUUAUUUCCAUUAAAACCUUGGUCCACAUUUGCUUUUUUCUUUUUAUGUGUUAUUAUGGCCUCAUAGUCUGGAUUACUAAAAGAAAAAGAAGUUUUAUAUCACUGGCAGUGCCAAAACUAUCAAUGACUUUAACAUUGUGGGUUUGAUGAUACUUCUCUUUUAUUGUAUUAAGUAAAUCUAUAAUAUGGACGACUAUUAAUGGCAUUUAUUACAGAAGAAUUGGCUAAAAAAACCUCUUUUCAAACACAGGAACAAGGGUUUGAAUGAAAAUAAAAUAAGGUUUAGGUUAUCUGAACUUUAUAAUAUUUGUGCAACAAAUAGAAAUUAAAAAGUCGUUUUUUCCAGCUAUUACUGUUAUUUUGAACAUUAAUACCAGGUGAAGGCAGCAAUUAGUAAAGAGCUUAGUGUGAGUCAGUUGCACACAGAACGCCACAGAGGUCGUGUGGUUUACAGUAUAAAGCUGGUGGCAGGCGUCCAAAGGAGGAGGUCAAAGUUAUUUAUGAAGACUGGCCUGAGAAAAAGGCACAAACAAAAGACAAAAGUAUAGCUUCCCAUGUUUGGAGAGUCUGCCUAUGCCUGACAAUGAAUCCCAUCUGACAGCAAGCAUUGUGGCGCUCCGAAGAAAAAAAAGAAAAAAUUAAGUCUAAAUUCAGAAAACCACAACCUGCUGGAUCUUAAUGCAACGUUUGGAAUAGAGGGAAGCGUGACCCGGAAUAACAGUUUUCGCUCAGCGCAUCACACCGUGUGGUCUGUGACCCCAAGUCUCGAGAGCACAACAGGUGUUUGUGUGACUGUACACACACAUAUAUCUACAUAUAUCUAUGUAUCUAUCUUUCUAUAAAUAUAUACAGUGUAGGAUUUAAUUUAAUUUUAAUAUGAUAUAUAUAAUCUAUUAUCAAAGGGAUAAUUCCCAUCGAGGUGUCCGUAAAUGAAAGGAUAAAGCUGAGGCCUGAUGGCGUCAGACGGUUACUUCAGCAAAGUCCAUUCAUUUCUGAUAAUGAACACUUCAAAAAUGUUUUUUUCCCGCAUAUACCACGGUCACCUAAGAAAAAACAAUACCUAUGAAAUUAAUUAUUAGUACUUUAUUCUUGCUAUAUAUUAGGUUAGAAUUGUUUAUCGCAAAAAUCAGACUAUUUGAUAAGUGGUGCGUCAGGUUGUCAUGGUAACGGCUACAGAGCCUCUAACCACUUACUCUGCUUUUUUGAUGUUUUAAAUUAGAGCACUCUGGACCAGAUGUUUUCUUUUGUUUUGUUUUAUUUCAAUUGUUAAGAGUGGGGGAAAAAAAUCCCCCUCGCUGGUGUAAAAGUAAAGGUUGGAAAACUGGUUCAGUUAAAAACUGCAUAAAGCAACUUUUUUAGACGUAAGUACCUUUUUUACUUUGUCACAAUGUCACCAAUUUAAAUGAAAACUCCUGCAAAUGUAAGUUGGAUCAAAACUAGAUUAAUAAUAAUAAUUAAUUCCAAGUCAUGUGCAAAUUAAUUGCUCAAAAAAGUUAAUCACACAACAGCAGUAAUAUAUAUAUAUAUAUAUAUAUAUAUAACUCGUAUGUUACACCAAUAAACGGAGUCAUGGGGAAAAUACUUUGUUGCAUCCCUGAUGUAUACCUGUCUGUUUAGGUUGAAAGUUCAGACAAUUGUGCAAAAUUUAGGAUGUAUUAUUUAUUGUUGUAUGACAUUAUAUCAGGUAUAUCAGGCUAAUCUGAUCCAACUGAGAGGUUUUGCUUCAUUGUUACAUCAUUUUUAGUAAAUUCAAAUAAAGAUUUUUCCAAUUAAUUUUUUUAUUUUUGUUAUUAAAACUAAGUAUUUCUGAGAUGCAAAGAGAAAAAAUAAAUAUAAAUGAAUUGUUUUUAUUUUUGUGCAGCACCUCUUCUGUUUUGUUGUGAUCCACCUCUUCAUGAAACACAUGAUAUUAUAAAAAUAUGUUUUGAAUUUAGAAAAUGGAAGAAGCCAUGGUCUGGAUGUUCCUGUAAUUGAUUCAUCUGUCGCCUGGUCACCAUGUUUGCGGGAAAAAAAUGGAUCGAGAGCUCAUCAAUAAGGGCCCCGUCGGUCAAAGGUCAUCUUGGUGAACUGGAAGGUGCCUCUUUGCUCCUCCAACAGGUGCAAGGCUGAACACCUGCUCGACGGCCGUGACGACCCAAAGAACCGAAAGUUCACAUGUUAAUGUGAAAGAGGUGUUCCACCAGGGCCUUACGCAACACAAAGAAGAAAGGAGCUGAAACUGCAGGACUUUUACUUUUGUUUAGAAUCGAUACGAUCCCAAGAAAGUGAGAGCAAGAGGCGUCAACGAAGAGGGAAUCGAGAAAUCGCCAGAGCUCAGGGAUUCCCGUCAAACUGUGGAGCCGAGCCGCAGAUGUUUGUCGAGAGAAAAUGAGGCUUCUCCGACAGCUGCUGAGGGAUCAGAACGUGGAUGACCUCCGGUGGCAACGCAGUGCUCUGAAAUCCACGAACAAAGUGACAGUGCUCCCCCAAAACCACCCUUUCAAAUUUGAUGCUUUUUGUCAAAAAACUAUUUUAUUUGGGUGUUAGUAACCUCCAAACCACCUAAAAAGUUACUUUUCCAAAGUUUAAAAGAUUAAAAAAACAACAACUGGAAACUUUCCAGAGUGUUUUAUUAAACGCUGAAUGCUGCAGACACAUGUGUUUUUCCCAUGUCUUUGAAGGAAUUCACAAACUUCAGAGAUGUGCAUCCACUCCUCCUUCAGGCAGUAUUUAAGCAGAAAAUUAUGGUCAUGCUCCAGCUCUGUUCCUUUCACACGGACACGAUUCCACCACACAAGAGCAGAUGAAGCCAGGAAGAACGCUUCCACG